AUUGAACGCUGGCGGCAGGCUUAACACAUGCAAGUCGAGCGAGCGGCGGACGGGUGAGUAAUGUCUGGGAAACUGCCUGAUGGAGGGGGAUAACUACUGGAAACGGUAGCUAAUACCGCAUACCAUCAGAUGUGCCCAGUUGGGAUUAGCUAGUUGGUGGGGUAAAGGCUCACCUAGGCGACGAUCCCUAGCUGGUCUGAGAGGAUGAUCAGCCACACUGGAACUGAGACACGGUCCAGAGUCCUACGGGAGGCAGCAGUGGGGAAUAGUGGACAAUGGGCGCAAGCCUGAUGCAGCCAUGCCGCGUGUGUGAAGAAGGCCUUCGGGUUGUAAAGCACUUUCAGCGGGGAGGCGUUACCCGCAGAAUAAGCACCGGCUAACUCCGUGCCAGCAGCCGCGGUAAUUC
rnacentral:rRNA from 1 species